rnacentral:tRNA from 2 species
CAUUACGAAGCUUAGAGCGUUAACCUUUUAAGUUAAAAUUAGAGAUGAUUAGUCUCCGUAGUGA